UUUAAAUGAUUCUCCUUCAUUUUCCUUCCUAUUUUCCACCUAAUCCCCUGGAGUUCCAAAUCAGCAUGGACAAAGAGUUCCAGCUUUUCUGGAAACCCUCUGGAUUUACUGCUGUGAGAUGAUUAACAUUCUUGAGGGUAUGACAGCUAAACUAACAUUUCUGCCUGCCAGCGUCUCUUGGAGCGUGAAAUGAAUCAAGGGCAAGAAAGAAUAGCAGAAAGUCUGAAAAGCAAGAUUUUUAGGCUCCUGUGUGCUGCCAGGCAAUGGAUCUAUGGAUAUAUUGUGUAUUUGUGUGAACACCCAACACUGGUCACCCUUGGGAGCAGAAUUCCUGAGAAAAUGGGAAUGCUUAAUGUUUCCAGCAAGAAAGCACAAACAGGGAAGUGGUGGUCAUUUUAAUAUAUAUGUAAAUAGGAGGACAGUGGUGUGAUGCAGAGGAUAUUAACAUUGAGCAGUACUCCACCAUUUGCUAUUGGUAUUCAGCAGGCUGAGAGUGCAGGGAGUGCCUGCUGAAGUUCACGAUUCCUGAAGUGCAAGAAAUGUCUUUUAAUUCUGCUCUGCAGAGAACAGGGAUGUGCAGCUUUUGCUGCUCUGCAGCAUCCAUGGUGCAGGCACUACCCUGAUGAGAGCAAUGCGUGAGAAACUGUCCUACCCCUCUCUACAGACAGUCCUAGAAAAUAUUGCAUUAAAUUUCCUCAAGCCUUAAGUGUAUCUCAGCCUUCAUUUGGUAAGAAAAUUUUGAAGGACUUCAACUUAAAGCACU